CCUACGGGUGGCUGCAGUGAGGAAUAUUGGUCAAUGGGCGCGAGCCUGAACCAGCCAAGUAGCGUGAAGGAUGACAGCCCUAUGGGUUGUAAACUUCUUUUAUAAAGGAAUAAAGUGAGGCACGUGUGCCUUUUUGUAUGUACUUUAUGAAUAAGCAUCGGCUAACUCCGUGCCAGCAGCCGCGGUAAUACGGAGGAUCCGAGCGUUAUCCGGAUUUAUUGGGUUUAAAGGGAGCGUAGAUGGGUUGUUAAGUCAGUUGUGAAAGUUUGCGGCUCAACCGUAAAAGUGCAAUUGAUACUGGCAGCCUUGAGUAUAGGUGGGGUAGAUGGAAUUCGUGGUGUAGCGGUGAAAUGCUUAGAUAUCACGAAGAACUCCGAUUGCGAAGGCAGUUUACUAAACUGCGACUGACAUUGAUGCUCGAAAGUGUGGGUAUCAAACAGGAUUAGAUACCCUAGUAGUC
rnacentral:rRNA from 1 species